rnacentral:rRNA from 1 species
GCCCACCUAUUCCGAGGUGGGUGCGGCGACUCCCCUAUUCAGAGGGGGAGUCGGAGCAGGAGUAGUUCGGGGCUAUAAAGCGUUGAGAGAGCGGAGGAGUGAACAGGAGAGACAACUCCCCCUCUUCGUCGGCUCGGGGGACAGCGGCGGGCGGCAGCGGGUGGCGCCACUGGCGGAGGGUGCACGAGGAGACUAACCAAGUUGUGGAGGCGGCAGAAGGCGACGAUGGAGAUACAGCUGCGCGCGCUCGACCCUCCGCGACGUCGGGGCCUAGGGGCACCAGAAGGUGGAGCCCGUUACGGCGGGAGCGGUAGCUUAAGGCCGUAGAGGCUCGGAGGGGGCUCGGGUGAAGCGCGUAGACGUCCUCGCUAUGGGGCUCUGUCGACGACUACGUCGACACUAGCUGAUACAGCUGGGAAGAAGGGAAAGUCGCCUCGAAGGUCUACCACCUAGGGACCUCAGUCUACGGUAGCGGCUGCCUACGAUGAUGCACCUCUGGCGGCUGCUGGUCCUCAUCAAUCCUCCAGGGUCCGUCCUCCGGAACGGAGAAGCUAGCAACGUAGCAAACACGAUCGGAAGAAUUCCGUCUUGAACAAAUUGAAUACAGACAUGAGUCUAUAACAACGAGGGCGACUGAGCGAAUACAUAGCUCGAUGCAUAAGCUCGGGAGCUCCGGGGACCGAACAUUAUACUUCGAACAUACUGAAAGUA